rnacentral:lncRNA from 1 species
UCCUGCUGUAAAAUAAAUAAUGCCACAGUUAUUGGAUGAAAGCCAGCUAUACAAGUGAACUAGACAGACGGUAAAACUCUAGGUACCUGACAUACUUGUAAAUGUCUUGGGAUAAAGUGGCCCUAGCUGUUGGUUAUGCACAAGUUGCCAUGCUUUGGGCCAUCUGGUCCUGUUGCUUUGGCCACAAUCAAUUAGACUCUGGAAAUUUUCAAAACACCAGUCAUUAAGGGCUCUUCAUACUAAAAUGGGAUUACCCAGCCCAGUCAGGUUCUUCCUCACUGAGAACUUGGGUUCAAGAUACCCAGAGAGUAGAAGUGAAGAGGAAGCGAUGGAGAGAAGCUGUGUCAUGAAUGUAGUGGAGUCACCAGAAUAGGGAGCAGUGGAAGUCUACUUGGAGCCACGUCUCCAGAUGUAUUGAACACCAGAAAUAACCACUGUGAUGCUCUAGUGCCUGGGAAGGCAUGAACAGGUGCCUGGUCUCUGCUUCCAAGAUGGAGUCUUUAACUAUGUCCUCUGGAGGAGAAGAAUGCUGUCUCAGGUGCAAGAUGGCCGAAUAGGAACAGCUCCAGUCUACAGCUCCCAGAGUGAGUGACAUGGAAGACAAAUGAUUUCUGCAUUUCCAACUGAGGUACUGGGUUCAUCUCACUGGGGAUUGUCAGAUAGUGGGUGCAGGACAGUGGGUGCAGCACACCGAGCAUUAGCCGAAGCAGGGUGAGGCAUUGCCA